rnacentral:tRNA from 1 species
AUAUCCUUGGCACAGUCGGUAGAGAAUGGCACUUGCAAUGCCAGGGUUAUGGGUUUGAUUCCCAUGGGGGACC